GAAAUGGAUUGGAGUGAAGAGGCGAAAGGAACAGGGUUGCUGUCUUAGAAAAACUCCUUUGAACUGUUUUCUUCAAGAUAAAACCUUCCAUCUUAAAGAGAAGCUCAAUAAGGUACAUGAUGUUCUUAAAGGAAGUGAAACAUCCCAUCCUGCCUGGAAGGUCCUUAAGUUCAGAAAGCAAGC
rnacentral:lncRNA from 1 species